UAGGGAAUCUUCCACAAUGGGCGAAAGCCUGAUGGAGCAACGCCGCGUAUGUGAUGAAGGCUUUCGGGUCGUAAAGCACUGUUGUAUGGGAAGAACAGCUAGAAUAGGAAAUGAUUUUAGUUUGACGGUACCAUACCAGAAAGGGACGGCUAAAUACGUGACAG
rnacentral:rRNA from 1 species